rnacentral:rRNA from 1 species
AUUGAACGCUGGCGGCAGGCCUAACACAUGCAAGUCGAGCGGAGCGGCGGACGGGUGAGUAAUGCCUAGGGAUCUGCCUGGUAGUGGGGGAUCACGUCCGGAAACGGGCGCUAAUACCGCAAGCUCUCAGAUGAGCAUAGGUCGGAUUGGCUAGUUGGUGGGGUAAAAGCCUACCAAGGGGACGAUCCGUAUCUGGCCUGAGAGGAUGAUCAGCCACCCUGGGACUGAGACCCGGCCCAGACUCCUACGGGAGGCAGCAGUGGGGAAUAUUGGGCAAUGGGCGAAAGCCUUAUCCCGCCAUGCCGCGUGUGUGUAGAAGGUCUUCGGAUUGUAAAGCACUGUAAGUUGGGAUGCGUUACCAACAUAAUAAGCACCGGCUAACUUCGUGCCAGCAGCCGCGGUAAUAC